CCUACGGGAGGCAGCAGUGGGGAAUAUUGCGCAAUGGGCGAAAGCCUGACGCAGCGACGCCGCGUGAGGGAUGAAGGUCUUCGGAUCGUAAACCUCUGUCAGCAGGGAAGAACGGUCACUGUGCUAAUCAGCAGUGAAUUGACGGUACCUGCAAAGGAAGCACCGGCUAACUCCGUGCCAGCAGCCGCGGUAAUACGGAGGGUGCGAGCGUUAAUCGGAAUUACUGGGCGUAAAGCGCUCGUAGGCGGUAUGUCAAGUCAAGGGUGAAAUCCCUGGGCUCAACGUGGGAACUGCCUUUGAAACUGGCAAGCUGGAGUGUGUGAGAGGAUAGUGGAAUUCGAGGUGUAGGAGUGAAAUCCGUAGAUAUCAGGAGGAACAUCAGUGGCGAAGGCGACUAUCUGGGCCAUGACUGACGCUGAGGAGCGAAAGCGUGGGUAGCAAACAGGAUUAGAUACCCGAGUAGUC
rnacentral:rRNA from 1 species